UUUGCCUUAGGGUGGUACGGCCUUCGGCGCCCUCUUUCGUGCCCGUGGCCUGCAUUUAUGUUGUGGGCAGUUCCUUGUGGUCUCCGUGGUGGCGGGCAUUACUGGGAAAAUUGGGAACGAGGAGGAGGAGGAUGCUAGUCCUCGGACCGAUUCUAAGAGUCAUCUAGAGGAGUAAUGGGAAGGUGGACGAGCUUGGUCCCGUGUGGACGUGCGCACUAGUGGUGUACGGAAUUGCCAAGACAGCUGUGUCGUCUAUGCCUUCAAGCUAUUUGGCGGAAAGUUUCUGCGUUCCUUUACUUUGUGGGUCGGGGCCUGGGUGCUUGAGUGGGAGAAAGGGAAAGCCGACUAGCCCUGGAUCCCCUUUUAAGCGCGUCGUCCAUUUGGGACAAAUUGCCUAAUGGUGUGAGCUCUUUCUCUGCAAGCAAACCUCAAAGUGCAGUCUUGCAUAAGCUCGGAGUCCAGGAGAAAUGUGUUCUAGCAUGUCUUGGGCCCAUCUCUGCUUCUUCAGCGCAACUGAGGAACUCACCCUCUGAGAAGAAAUACGGUCACCAGCCACACCACCGAGACCGUUAGAUUGGUGAUGACAACUACCUUCCAUCUUAGCGCAUCCACAUUGCCUGCCAGAAAAAGAAACUCUGAGCCUAUUUACUGGGGCCUCACUAGACAACAACAAUCAUCAUCCUUAUGGUCAUUUAUCUCUGGCUUUUUCUGUCCAUGUGAGUCCACCGAACUUCCAAGGCUCCCUCCUCCAGCCCAUCCGGUACGACCGUCCCCUCCCUACUUGGAUAAUUUCCCACAACGUGCACUGCUAACCCAGGAUGGGGAAGUGGAGUAUAUGCAAUACAAGAGAGGCUAGACUUUCGGGGCACCUGGGUGGCUCAGUCUUGUUAAGCGGCUGCCUUCGGCUCAGGUCAUGAUCCCAGAGUCCUGGGAUCGAGCCCCACAUCGGGCUCCCUGCUCAGCGGGAAGCCUGCUUCUCCCUCUCUCACUCCCCCUGCUUGUGUUCCCGCCGUCGCUGUCUCUGUCUCUGUCAAAUAAAUAAAUAAAAUCUUAAAAAAAAGAGAGAGAGAGAGAGAGGCUAGACUUUCAAUGGCACUGUGGCACUUCCAAUAGGUCAAAACAUUCUAAUGAGCGAAUCCUUGGAAAUCCAGGCCUCUGGAAACCCAUGGUAUGGGAUUUCAUCAAUUUGGAGGUGCACAGGAAAGCCAGUGGGGCACAAAUAGUUUGAGGGUCAUGAAUUAUUACGUGACGGUUCAGGGUCAAGGCCCAGAGGUUUCUCUCUCUUGCUUCCUUUCACCUCAGGGAAUGGCCUCAGGCAAUGCCUCUGGAGCUAGUUCACUCAGUCUUCUCUGACCAGCAGUGCCAGCCCUUCCUUCCAGAUCUUGUUCUUGUGUUGAACCCACCAUGUGGACUUGACAUCCUCACCAGAGAAAACUUGGAAAGUUGGGGAAAGUUAGCAGAAUGAAUUAAAAGAUCAACCAUAAUUCCACAACCAAUGUAUAACCACUCUUUGUUCUUAAUUUACUCCCCACUGGUCUCUUUCCUAUGGGAGUAAGAUAAUGUAGACUGUAACCCACUACCAUGAGAUUCAGUGGUGUCCCCUGCUGCACUCCAGACAUUGCUGAGCACGUGUGAAGAUCUGCAGAAACGGCCUUCCUGCCCCCUGGCCACACACCCAUCCUUCACGGGAAAAAGACACUUACCCCAACAUUAGUCAGGCAAUAAAAAAAAAAAAUUUUAAAAAAUUAUUUAUUUUUUUAAAGUUUUCAUUUAAAUUCCGGUGAGUGGACAUGCAGUGUAAUACUAGUUUCAGGUGUCCAAUAUUGUGGUUCAGCCCUCUCAUACAACACCCAGUGCUCAUCACAACAAGUGCCCUUGUUAAUACCCAUCACUCAUAUUUUUUUUAAAGAUUUUUA